GGGUUGUGAGGUUAAGCGACUAAGCGUACACGGUGGAUGCCCUGGCAGUCAGAGGCGAUGAAGGGCGUGCUAAUCUGCGAUAAGCGCCGGUAAGGUGAUAUGAACCGUUAUAACCGGCGAUACCCGAAUGGGGAAACCCAGUGUGAUUCGUCACACUAUCAUUAACUGAAUCCAUAGGUUAAUGAGGCGAACCGGGGGAACUGAAACAUCUAAGUACCCCGAGGAAAAGAAAUCAACCGAGAUUCCCCCAGUAGCGGCGAGCGAACGGGGAGGAGCCCAGAGCCUGAAUCAGCAUGUGUGUUAGUGGAAGCGUCUGGAAAGGCGCGCGAUACAGGGUGACAGCCCCGUACACAAAAGCGCAUGUGCUGUGAGCUCGAUGAGUAGGGCGGGACACGUGGUAUCCUGUCUGAAUAUGGGGGGACCAUCCUCCAAGGCUAAAUACUCCUGACUGACCGAUAGUGAACCAGUACCGUGAGGGAAAGGCGAAAAGAACCCCGGCGAGGGGAGUGAAAAAGAACCUGAAACCGUGUACGUACAAGCAGUGGGAGCACAGGUUUACCUGUGUGACUGCGUACCUUUUGUAUAAUGGGUCAGCGACUUAUAUUCUGUAGCAAGGUUAACCGUAUAGGGGAGCCGGAGGGAAACCGAGUCUUAAUUGGGCGUUAAGUUGCAGGGUAUAGACCCGAAACCCGGUGAUCUAGCCAUGGGCAGGUUGAAGGUUGGGUAACACUAACUGGAGGACCGAACCGACUAAUGUUGAAAAAUUAGCGGAUGACCUGUGGCUGGGGGUGAAAGGCCAAUCAAACCGGGAGAUAGCUGGUUCUCCCCGAAAGCUAUUUAGGUAGCGCCUCGUGAAUUCAUCUCCGGGGGUAGAGCACUGUUUCGGCUAGGGGGCCAUCCCGGCUUACCAACCCGAUGCAAACUGCGAAUACCGGAGAAUGUUAUCACGGGAGACACACGGCGGGUGCUAACGUCCGUCGUGAAGAGGGAAACAACCCAGACCGCCAGCUAAGGUCCCAAAGUCAUGGUUAAGUGGGAAACGAUGUGGGAAGGCCCAGACAGCCAGGAUGUUGGCUUAGAAGCAGCCAUCAUUUAAAGAAAGCGUAAUAGCUCACUGGUCGAGUCGGCCUGCGCGGAAGAUGUAACGGGGCUAAACCAUGCACCGAAGCUGCGGCAGCGAACGUAUCACUUAAAGCGAUUCAGCGGGUUACGAUUGACGGAGCGAAGCGACGUCAAAGCGUAUACAAAGUCGAGUCGGUUUAAGGAUACGUUCGUUGGGUAGGGGAGCGUUCUGUAAGCCUGUGAAGGUGGCCUGUGAGGGUUGCUGGAGGUAUCAGAAGUGCGAAUGCUGACAUAAGUAACGAUAAAGCGGGUGAAAAGCCCGCUCGCCGGAAGACCAAGGGUUCCUGUCCAACGUUAAUCGGGGCAGGGUGAGUCGACCCCUAAGGCGAGGCCGAAAGGCGUAGUCGAUGGGAAACGGGUUAAUAUUCCCGUACUUGGUGUUACUGCGAAGGGGGGACGGAGAAGGCUAUGUUGGCCGGGCGACGGUUGUCCCGGUUUAAGCGUGUAGGUGUGUGUUCCAGGUAAAUCCGGUUCACUUUAACACUGAGGCGUGACGACGAGGCACUACGGUGCUGAAGCAACAAAUGCCCUGCUUCCAGGAAAAGCCUCUAAGCAUCAGGUAACAUCAAAUCGUACCCCAAACCGACACAGGUGGUCAGGUAGAGAAUACCAAGGCGCUUGAGAGAACUCGGGUGAAGGAACUAGGCAAAAUGGUGCCGUAACUUCGGGAGAAGGCACGCUGACACGUAGGUGAAGUGAUUUACUCACGGAGCUGAAGUCAGUCGAAGAUACCAGCUGGCUGCAACUGUUUAUUAAAAACACAGCACUGUGCAAACACGAAAGUGGACGUAUACGGUGUGACGCCUGCCCGGUGCCGGAAGGUUAAUUGAUGGGGUCAGCGCAAGCGAAGCUCCUGAUCGAAGCCCCGGUAAACGGCGGCCGUAACUAUAACGGUCCUAAGGUAGCGAAAUUCCUUGUCGGGUAAGUUCCGACCUGCACGAAUGGCGUAAUGAUGGCCAGGCUGUCUCCACCCGAGACUCAGUGAAAUUGAACUCGCUGUGAAGAUGCAGUGUACCCGCGGCAAGACGGAAAGACCCCGUGAACCUUUACUAUAGCUUGACACUGAACAUUGAGCCUUGAUGUGUAGGAUAGGUGGGAGGCUUUGAAGUGUGGACGCCAGUCUGCAUGGAGCCGACCUUGAAAUACCACCCUUUAAUGUUUGAUGUUCUAACGUGGACCCGUAAUCCGGGUUGCGGACAGUGUCUGGUGGGUAGUUUGACUGGGGCGGUCUCCUCCUAAAGAGUAACGGAGGAGCACGAAGGUUGGCUAAUCCUGGUCGGACAUCAGGAGGUUAGUGCAAUGGCAUAAGCCAGCUUGACUGCGAGCGUGACGGCGCGAGCAGGUGCGAAAGCAGGUCAUAGUGAUCCGGUGGUUCUGAAUGGAAGGGCCAUCGCUCAACGGAUAAAAGGUACUCCGGGGAUAACAGGCUGAUACCGCCCAAGAGUUCAUAUCGACGGCGGUGUUUGGCACCUCGAUGUCGGCUCAUCACAUCCUGGGGCUGAAGUAGGUCCCAAGGGUAUGGCUGUUCGCCAUUUAAAGUGGUACGCGAGCUGGGUUUAGAACGUCGUGAGACAGUUCGGUCCCUAUCUGCCGUGGGCGCUGGAGAACUGAGGGGGGCUGCUCCUAGUACGAGAGGACCGGAGUGGACGCAUCACUGGUGUUCGGGUUGUCAUGCCAAUGGCACUGCCCGGUAGCUAAAUGCGGAAGAGAUAAGUGCUGAAAGCAUCUAAGCACGAAACUUGCCCCGAGAUGAGUUCUCCCUGAGACUUUAGGUCUCCUGAAGGAACGUUGAAGACGACGACGUUGAUAGGCCGGGUGUGUAAGCGCAGCGAUGCGUUGAGCUAACCGGUACUAAUGAACCGUGAGGCUUAACCUUACAACGCCGAAG
rnacentral:rRNA from 1 species